rnacentral:rRNA from 1 species
CCGGUAAACGGCGGCCGUAACUAUAACGGUCCUAAGGUAGCGAAAUUCCUUGUCGGGUAAGUUCCGACCUGCACGAAUGGCGUAAUGAUGGCCAGGCUGUCUCCACCCGAGACUCAGUGAAAUUGAACUCGCUGUGAAGAUGCAGUGUACCCGCGGCAAGACGGAAAGACCCCGUGAACCUUUACUAUAGCUUGACACUGAACAUUGAGCCUUGAUGUGUAGGAUAGGUGGGAGGCUUUGAAGUGUGGACGCCAGUCUGCAUGGAGCCGACCUUGAAAUACCACCCUUUAAUGUUUGAUGUUCUAACGUUGGCCCGUAAUCCGGGUUGCGGACAGUGUCUGGUGGGUAGUUUGACUGGGGCGGUCUCCUCCUAAAGAGUAACGGAGGAGCACGAAGGUUGGCUAAUCCUGGUCGGACAUCAGGAGGUUAGUGCAAUGGCAUAAGCCAGCUUGACUGCGAGCGUGACGGCGCGAGCAGGUGCGAAAGCAGGUCAUAGUGAUCCGGUGGUUCUGAAUGGAAGGGCCAUCGCUCAACGGAUAAAAGGUACUCCGGGGAUAACAGGCUGAUACCGCCCAAGAGUUCAUAUCGACGGCGGUGUUUGGCACCUCGAUGUCGGCUCAUCACAUCCUGGGGCUGAAGUAGGUCCCAAGGGUAUGGCUGUUCGCCAUUUAAAGUGGUACGCGAGCUGGGUUUAGAACGUCGUGAGACAGUUCGGUCCCUAUCUGCCGUGGGCGCUGGAGAACUGAGGGGGGCUGCUCCUAGUACGAGAGGACCGGAGUGGACGCAUCACUGGUGUUCGGGUUGUCAUGCCAAUGGCACUGCCCGGUAGCUAAAUGCGGAAGAGAUAAGUGCUGAAAGCAUCUAAGCACGAAACUUGCCCCGAGAUGAGUUCUCCCUGACUCCUUGAGAGUCCUGAAGGAACGUUGAAGACGACGACGUUGAUAGGCCGGGUGUGUAAGCGCAGCGAUGCGUUGAGCUAACCGGUACUAAUGAACCGUGAGGCUUAACCUUACAACGCCGAAG